AGUGAACGCUGGCGGUAGGCCUAACACAUGCAAGUCGAACGGCAGCACAGUAAGCUCUUGCUCUUACGGUUGGCGAGUGGCGGACGGGUGAGGCAUACAUCGGAAUCUACUUUUUCUUGGGUGAUAACGUAGGGAAACUUACGCUAAUACCUCAUACGACCUACGGGUGAAAGCAGGAGUGCUUCGGACCUUUCGUGUUUGUAUUAGCUGAUGUCGGAUUAGCUAGUUGGCGGGGUAAAGGCCCACCAAGGCAACGAUCCGUAGCUGGUCUGAGAGGAUGAUCAGCCACACUGGAACUGAGACACGGUCCAGACUCCUACGGGAGGCAGCAGUGGGGAAUAUUGGACAAUGGGCGCAAGCCUGAUCCAGCAAUACCGCGUGAGUGAAGAAGGCCUUCGGGUUGUAAAGCCCUGUUGUUGGGAAAGAAAAGCAGCAGGUUAAUACCUCGCUGUUCUGACGGUACCCAAAGAAUAAGCACCGGCUAACUUCGUG
rnacentral:rRNA from 1 species